UGUUGUAACUUCAAAACAACGCAAGGCAACUCUUUUACCCCUGUCCUUCGCGGCUUUGUGGAUCUAUCAGCAUGCAUCGAUGUGCAGCGUUUUCCCCGGCGCCGAUUUACCAUUUCGAGGUUUUUUUAACCACUUCCUCAAAAGGACGUCCUUUGGUUGAAGUCAACGAAAAGCUCUCAAUCAAGAUUGCAGGUGGCUACAUCGAAUGACACUUUGUAGACUGCAUCAAAUAAACAUUUGAUGAUGA